rnacentral:rRNA from 1 species
GAUGAACGCUAGCUACAGGCUUAACACAUGCAAGUCGAGGGGCAGCAUGGUCUUAGCUUGCUAAGGCCGAUGGCGACCGGCGCACGGGUGAGUAACACGUAUCCAACCUGCCGUCUACUCUUGGACAGCCUUCUGAAAGGAAGAUUAAUACAAGAUGGCAUCAUGAGUCCGCAUGUUCACAUGAUUAAAGGUAUUCCGGUAGACGAUGGGGAGGCGUUCCAUUAGAUAGUAGGCGGGGUAACGGCCCACCUAGUCUUCGAUGGAUAGGGGUUCUGAGAGGAAGGUCCCCCACAUUGGAACUGAGACACGGUCCAAACUCCUACGGGAGGCAGCAGUGAGGAAUAUUGGUCAAUGGGCGAGAGCCUGAACCAGCCAAGUAGCGUGAAGGAUGACUGCCCUAUGGGUUGUAAACUUCUUUUAUAAAGGAAUAAAGUCGGGUAUGGAUCCCCGUUUGAAUGUACUUUAUGAAUAAGGAUCGGCUAACUCCGUG